rnacentral:rRNA from 1 species
CCUACGGGCGGCUGUAGUGGGGAAUAUUGGACAAUGGGGGGAACCCUGAUCCAGCCAUGCCGCGUGUGUGAAGAAGGCCCUCGGGUUGUAAAGCACUUUCAGUGAGGAAGAACGCCUGGUGGUUAAUACCCAUCAGGAAAGACAUCACUCACAGAAGAAGCACCGGCUAACUCCGUGCCAGCAGCCGCGGUAAUACGGAGGGUGCGAGCGUUAAUCGGAAUUACUGGGCGUAAAGCGCGCGUAGGUGGCUUGAUAAGCCGGUUGUGAAAGCCCCGGGCUCAACCUGGGAACGGCAUCCGGAACUGUCAAGCUAGAGUGCAGGAGAGGAAGGUAGAAUUCCCGGUGUAGCGGUGAAAUGCGUAGAGAUCGGGAGGAAUACCAGUGGCGAAGGCGGCCUUCUGGACUGACACUGACACUGAGGUGCGAAAGCGUGGGUAGCAAACAGGAUUAGAUACCCGAGUAGUC